UCGUCUAUAUACGUAUAGCAUAUCAAUAAGCGGAGGAAAAGAAACUAACAAGGAUUCCCUUAGUAACGGCGAGUGAAGCGGGAAGAGCUCAAAUUUGAAAUCUUCAAGGUUCUACCUUGACGAAUUGUAGUUUAUAGAAGUGUUUUCUGUUAGUGGAGUGGCAAAAGUUCUUUGGAAUAGGACAUCAUAGAGGGUGAGAAUCCCGUAUUUGGUCAUUCCUCCUAGCGUUGUGAUACACUUUCGACGAGUCGGAUUGUUUGGGAAUGCAGUCCAAAAUGGGUGGUAAAUUUCAUCUAAAGCUAAAUAUUGGCGAGAGACCGAUAGCGAACAAGUACCGUGAGGGAAAGAUGAAAAGAACUUUGAAAAGAGAGUUAAACAGUACGUGAAAUUGUCAAAAGGGAAGCGUUUGACACCAGUGUUGCUUUUCCGAAAAUCAAUUACGAAUGUUUUAUUUUUGAGGAGUUAUGACUUCAUCGGCUUGCUCCUUUCUUUAUGAAACUUUCUUAAUGCACUUUUCGGUUAACAAGUCAACAUCAAUUUCUUUUGUUGUAAAAGGGUUAUGAGGAAGGUGGCUUUACUUUCGGAGUAAAGUGUUUAUAGCCUUGUAGCCUCUGCAAUCGGAGAGAUUGAGGUCUGCAGCGUAGAUCCUUCGGGGUUAGAUACAUUUGUGCUAAGUUAUAGCUUUUCAUAGACAACUUGUUGACUAUGUUUAGUCUUGUGACUUACUCGCUUACGCUAUUUUACCUACGCUUAGGAUGUUGAAGAUAUGCGCGACACG
rnacentral:rRNA from 1 species